rnacentral:rRNA from 1 species
CCUACGGGCGGCAGCAGUGAGGAAUAUUGGUCAAUGGGCGGAAGCCUGAACCAGCCAAGUAGCGUGCGGGAUGAAGGCCCUACGGGUCGUAAACCGCUUUUGCACGGGGAUAACACCCUCCACUUGUGGAGGUCUGCAGGUACCGUGCGAAUAAGGGCCGGCUAAUUCCGUGCCAGCAGCCGCGGUAAUACGGAAGGCCCGAGCGUUAUCCGGAUUCAUUGGGCUUAAAGGGAGCGUAGGCGGGCGUUCAAGUUAGCGGUAAAAUCGCGCGGCUCAACCGCGCCCCGAAGUUGAAACUGGACGCAUUGAGUUCACAACAGGCAGGCGGAAUUCGUGGUGUAGCGGUGAAAUGCAUAGAUAGCACGAGGAACCCCGAUUGCGAAGGCAGCCUGCCGGGGUGCGACUGACGCUGAGGCUCGAAGGUGCGGGUAUCAAACAGGAUUAGAUACCCGAGUAGUC